AUUGAACGCUGGCGGCAGGCCUAACACAUGCAAGUCGAGCGAGUGGCGGACGGGUGAGUAAUGUCUGGGAAACUGCCUGAUGGAGGGGGAUAACUACUGGAAACGGUAGCUAAUACCGCAUACCAUCAGAUGUGCCCAGAUGGGAUUAGCUAGUUGGUGGGUUAACGGCUCACCAAGGCGCCGAUCCCUAGCUGGUCUGAGAGGAUGACCAGCCACAAUGGAAUGGAGAAACGGGCCAGACUCCUAGGGGAGGCAGCAGUGGGGAAUAUUGCACAAGGGGCGCAAGCUGGAGGCAGCCAGGCCGGGUGUAUGAAGAAGGCCUUGGGGUUGUAAAGUACUUUAAGCGGGGAGGCGUUACCCGAAGAAGAAGCACCGGCUAACUCCGUGCCAGAAGCCGCGUAAUUC
rnacentral:rRNA from 1 species